rnacentral:lncRNA from 1 species
AGAGGUAGGCGGAUGCCGGUGGCGUGGAGCUACUGGUAAUCGUCGGUCAAGCUUGAGCAUGAGAGAGACGGUGGUGGCGGUUUUGGCCGCUGCUCGCCGGGAGAGAAGAGAGGUGAGGGAGACAGUCGAGAGAAAGAUUUGAGGGAGGAGAAUAGAGGGGUCGAGGGUGAUGGUGAGGAUGACAGAGCGGCGCUCGUCGCCGGGAUGGUGGCACGCGGCCGUGAAGUCCGAGAGAGAGAGAGGGAGUGAGAUCUGCAAUUGUAUGAGUGUGUGCGUGUGUGUAGCGGCUGAG